rnacentral:rRNA from 1 species
GAUGAACGCUGACGGAAUGCUUAACACAUGCAAGUCAACUUGAACUUCGGUUUGGGUGGCGGACGGGUGAGUAACGCGUAAAGAACUUGCCUCACAGAUAGGGACAACAUUUGGAAACGAAUGCUAAUACCUGAUAUUAUGAUUAUAUGGCAUCGUAUAAUUAUGAAAGCUAUAUGCGCUGUGAGAGAGCUUUGCGUCCCAUUAGCUAGUUGGAGAGGUAACGGCUCACCAAGGCGAUGAUGGGUAGCCGGCCUGAGAGGGUGAUCGGCCACAAGGGGACUGAGACACGGCCAUUACUCCUACGGGAGGAAGCAGUGGGGAAUAUUGGACAAUGGACCAAGAGUCUGAUCCAGCAAUUCUGUGUGCACGAUGAAGUUUUUCGGAAUGUAAAGUGCUUUCAGUUGGGAAGAAAAAAAUGACGGUACCAACAGAAGAAGUGACGGCUAAAUACGUG